GGUGAACGCUGGCGGCGUGCCUAAUACAUGCAAGUCGAGCGAACAGAUAAGGAGCUUGCUCCUUUGACGUUAGCGGCGGACGGGUGAGUAACACGUGGGUAACCUACCUAUAGGACUGGAAUAACUCCGGGAAACCGGGGCUAAUGCCGGAUAACAUUUAGAACCGCAUGGUUCUAAAGUGAAAGAUGGUUUUGCUAUCACUUAUAGAUGGACCCGCGCCGUAUUAGCUAGUUGGUAAGGUAACGGCUUACCAAGGCAACGAUACGUAGCCGACCUGAGAGGGUGAUCGGCCACACUGGAACUGAGACACGGUCCAGACUCCUACGGGAGGCAGCAGUAGGGAAUCUUCCGCAAUGGGCGAAAGCCUGACGGAGCAACGCCGCGUGAGUGAUGAAGGUCUUCGGAUCGUAAAACUCUGUUAUUAGGGAAGAACAAAUGUGUAAGUAACUGUGCACGUCUUGACGGUACCUAAUCAGAAAGCCACGGCUAACUACGUG
rnacentral:rRNA from 1 species